rnacentral:rRNA from 1 species
AUGGAAGAAGCACAAGGUGAUAAACGAAACAAGCCUCCUGACUCGUUUGCCGAGAGUGGCGUCAUANNNNNNNNNNNNNNNNNNCCUAUAACAAAAGCUAAGAUCUCCAUAAGAACAACCACCAUCGAGAGGGUCUUCUGGGCAAGUUUUGAAGACAUUCCAAAUGACCUCAAGUCUUGCUUCCUCUACUUGGCCGCCAUCCCAAAGAAUACAACUAUAUAUGCUGAUGAUGUUGUGAGGAUUUGGAUGGCUGAGGGUUUCAUCAAGCCGCGGCAGGGCAAGACUUUGGAGGAGCUGGGUCACACCUACCUCAAGGAACUGGUGUUGAGAUGCCUUGUUCAUAUUGAUAAGAUGAACAAUGUUGGCAUCAUUGAGAAGGUCAUCGUUCACCGAAGCCUCUAUGGGUUCCCCCAUUCAGAGGCUCGCGAGGCUGGAUUCAUGGAUGUUCAUGGCAUGAAUGAAAUCUUUGUUCCACCAUUGGUGCGCCAGUUCUCUUUCACGAGUUUCAAAGGUGGACACACGACAUUCACCAACAAGUUCUGUAAGCUGCGUUCCAUCAUAUGCUGGGUCCAGGAGAAAGACCCGAGCAAUGACGGCCAAGGAGUGAACCAGAAGCACCGGCAAUCCGGCAUGAUCUCAAGUUUCUUUGUGUGUCCAAGUUCCUUCGUGUAA